UUUAGCGUCGAUCACCAUCUUCUGCCAUCGAAACUGAUUCUCUUCGGAAACCAAAGAGAAUCAGUUUCGAUUGCAGAAGAUGGUGAUAGGAUACUGUUGA
rnacentral:pre_miRNA from 1 species